AAUAACCACAUCUUAAGUACAGUUUGACUUUCAUGACUAAAGAUAAAAAUUACAGGGAGGUAGGAUUUUAUUUCACUAUAAAGAUGAACUUCCUAACGAAAAAGAAAAUGAGAAAGAAAAAGUGAGAGAAAAGAAAGAAGUGAAAGAAAAUUGUUGUAGACAGAGUGAUCAAGGAAGGAUUUAUAAAGGAGGUGAGGCUUGAGUUGGAUUAAGGUUAACUGAAUUUUUGUAAGCAUGAAGAGGGGCAAUGUAUUCAUUCUAAAUUAUAACAAAUUUACCAAUAAAAGGUUUGUAUUUUGUAGAAAUGAGAAACUGAUUACAUCUGCUUAUUUGGACAGUGAAUGGAACCACAUAUUCUGCCUGUUGGCAAACACCAAAUCUGUAUAGUUUAUUUUCUUCAAAGGGAAUCAUGAUUGCCAACAAUCACUCAGCACCAACAAUUUACUGAAUGUUUAUCUGCCUGCAUUCUUCUUGUGGCUGGAAAUGUAGCAGUGAACCAGACCGAGACCCUGAUCCGCUGGGUAUAUAGCUGGGGGAGUCAGACAUUCAUGAAAAUGACUUCUAGUGCCACAGAUAUUUCAAAAGAUGCAGUAAAGAGUUCUGUGGGUCUGAAUGAUAUGGUGUGCUAACCAAAUAUGUGAAGGUGGCGAAGGUCUCCUAGAAGAAUUGGUGCAAAACUUGAGUCUCAAAGGAUGAGCUGGGUGAGGAGUUGGGCACAGUAUUCUGGGCAGUGGGAACAUCAUGGACAGAAGCCUGAAUGCAGCGGAGAGACUGACUCACUUGUGGGCAUGAAGGAGAUCAGCAUGACUGGAUUGGAGCUCACUUCCUGGUGUUUUCACCUCAUUGCAUCCCUGGUUGGUUUCUGUUGCUUGCAAUGAAAGAACCCUUACAAAUGCAAUAAUGCAGAAGUAACAAUGAAGAUGACACUGAUUCACACAAGAUUUAAUUUGUUACAUGAGUAAAUAAACAAAGCAAAAUGAACAGAAUUUACUAUACUGCAUCCCUGCUGGGAGUAUGUUGAGCUAUCUGGCCUGGAAGGCCUUUGUGACCUGUUGAAAGAAUAUACAUGGAUUUACUUCAGGAGAAAAAUAAAGUGUUAUUUUAAAAAUGGAUCAUGUUCAUUGUAAUUAAGAAUAAAGGUUGUAAAAACUAUGGAUUGUGGCCGGGCUUG
rnacentral:lncRNA from 1 species